rnacentral:misc_RNA from 1 species
GAUGAAGAACGUAGCGAAAUGCGAUAAGUAGUGUGAAUUGCAGAAUUCAGUGAAUCAUCGAAUCUUUGAACGCACAUUGCGCCCUUUGGUAUUCCAAAGGGCAUGCCUGUUCGAGCGUCAUUUGUACCCUCAAGCUUUGCUUGGUGUUGGGCGUCUUGUCUCUAGCUUCGCUGGAGACUCGCCUUAAAGUAAUUGGCAGCCGGCCUACUGGUUUCGGAGCGCAGCACAAGUCGCACUCUCUAUCAGCAAAGGUCUAGCAUCCAUUAAGCCUUUUUUUCAACUUUUGACCUCGGAUCAGGUAGGGAUACCCGCUGAACUUAAGCAUAUCAAUAAGCGGAGGA